GAUGAACGCUGGCGGCGUGCCUAAUACAUGCAAGUCGAGCGAACAGACGAGGAGCUUGCUCCUCUGACGUGAGCGGCGGGCGGGUGAGUAACACGUGGAUAACCUACCUAUAAGACUGGGAUAACUUCGGGAAACCGGAGCUAAUACCGGAUAAUAUAUUGAACCGCAUGGUUCAAUAGAGAAAGACGGUUUUGCUGUCACUUAUAGAUGUAUCCGCGCCGCAUUAGCUAGUUGGUAAGGUAACGGCUUACCAAGGCGACGAUGCGUAGCCGACCUGAGAGGGUGAUCGGCCACACUGGAACUGAGACACGGUCCAGACUCCUACGGGAGGCAGCAGUAGGGAAUCUUCCGCAAUGGGCGAAAGCCUGACGGAGCAACGCCGCGUGAGUGAUGAAGGUCUUCGGAUCGUAAAACUCUGUUAGUAGGGAAGAACAAAUGUGUAAGUAACUAUGCACGUCUUGACGGUACCUAAUCAGAAAGCCACGGCUAACUACGUG
rnacentral:rRNA from 1 species